UCUCGAUUGGUCUAGUGGUCAGGAUACCUGCUUGUCAUUCACAUGAACAAGUACGCAGGUGGCCGGGGUUCGAUUCCCCGAUCGAGAG